UUAAGUCUGCAAGUUGUGCAUAUUCUGUCAACUUAAGUUGCCGUUCUUCUUUGGUUGGGACCUGGCUCGUUUUCCAUUUUUGGUAUUAGUUUUAGACCUUGUGUCUCAAAUGAAGGCUGGCAGCACCACCAGCUCCGCCCUGUGAGAAUCCUUUGCAGACGAGCGCAGUGCCUGGAGGCAGCCAGAUCCUGCAUCCACAGCACUGAUCAGAGGAGGAAUGGCCGCUGGGGGGAGCGCAGAGAGAAGAAACGCCCCCUGGCAUCGGCAUCAGUGCAACAACCAGGCGUCUUCCUCUGCCCCAGAUGCAGCAAACCACGUCUCCCGUAUCGGUCUCCAACGGAGUGACAUCCCCCCCAAAGGUGUGCUCCUCCAGUGUCUCCCGAGACAGAUGGAUGUCAGCAGUAAUGACUUGGCUGUGAUGGCUAACAAACAGCCAGCAAAGCACCACAAGGAGCAAUGAAAAAGCACUUACAGAGAGCAGGGAGAGAAGGGGAGCAGCCCAGGAGCAGGAGCAGCAAGAGAAAGCAGCCUCAGCACCCUUGGAAAAGCCCCCGAAGGAGCAGGGAGCAGCUUGUCAACUGGGCAGGCCAGAAGGAGGCAGCUGCCAAAGGCGAAUCUGGCACGGUUGGGGACAGAGCAGUAAGGAAGUCGCCAGCUCCUCAGACCCAGCUCAGGCCAACAUCCUGGGGGCAGAAUUCUGCGCUGCCUGAAGCUUCCAGAGUCUCCUCCCAAGGGAGCCUGCAGCGAUGCAACCGAGAUACGACUGGCGCCUUCGCCACCACAUGCCCACCCAAGAUGCUCUGGCUGAGAAGGUGCACAGUGGCGUUUUCAGCACUGCACCUGUGGAACUGCCUGCCCCAAGAAAUCUGCUGAGCCUUCCCCUCAGGGACGGUGAGUCAUCCAUUAGACCAUUUUACUCAAACAGUCCUUUGGCCUGGCAGUUUGGAUUUCAUUACACGCCCCCCUGCUAACUUU